CGCUCCGUGGUCUCCUUCUGGGCCGCCCCACCCGGGUGGAUGGCGGACACCAUGAGGAUGCCCACAAUAACUGCCACGAAGGUGGUCCACAGGUAGUAUGCCACGAACAAGCAUGUCUUGCUUCUGUGAUGGAAAAUACAACCCCUUGAGUACUGGCAGCUACAGAAACCAUCAUUUGUCUGGAGCUAACUGUCCCCAAACACCUGAACAUCCACCUCAUCUGAUCCUUAACAUUCUAAGUCACCACUGCUGACUUGAGAGCCACAUUUGUCACUUUACAUUUCCUAGGAGUCACAUUAAAAAAGUAAAAAAAACAGUGAAAUUCA